rnacentral:rRNA from 1 species
UACUCCUACGGGAGGCAGCAGUGGGGAAUCUUCCGCAAUGGACGAAAGUCUGACGGAGCAACGCCGCGUGAGUGAUGACGGCCUUCGGGUUGUAAAGCUCUGUUAAUCGGGACGAAUGGUUCUUGUGCGAAUAGUGCGAGGAUUUGACGGUACCGGAAUAGAAAGCCACGGCUAACUACGUGCCAGCAGCCGCGGUAAUACGUAGGUGGCAAGCGUUGUCCGGAAUUAUUGGGCGUAAAGCGCGCGCAGGCGGAUUGGUCAGUCUGUCUUAAAAGUUCGGGGCUUAACCCCGUGAUGGGAUGGAAACUGCCAAUCUAGAGUAUCGGAGAGGAAAGUGGAAUUCCUAGUGUAGCGGUGAAAUGCGUAGAUAUUAGGAAGAACACCAGUGGCGAAGGCGACUUUCUGGACGAAAACUGACGCUGAGGCGCGAAAGCCAGGGGAGCGAACGGGAUUAGAUACCCCGGUAGUCCUGGCCGUAAACGAUGGGUACUAGGUGUAGGAGGUAUCGACCCCUUCUGUGCCGGAGUUAACGCAAUAAGUACCCCGCCUGGGGAGUACGACCGCAAGGUUGAAACUCAAAGGAAUUGACGGA